GCAGAAAUGUUUUGGUACCCUUCCCCAGAUCUGUGCCUCAACACAAUCCUGUCUCGGAGCUCUACAGAUAAUUCCUUCGACCUCAUGGCUUGGUUUUUUUCUCUGACAUGCACUGUCAAUUGUGGGACCUUAUAUAGACAGAAGAUAGACCUGAAGAAGAGACCUCAGUCUGGGAACUCCUCCACCUCCAAGAGCACCUCUCCCACCCUGACCCCAUCUCCAUCCCCCACCCCCAAGCCUGCCCUGGGGGACUCCCUGUCCUCUGCCUCC
ensembl:lncRNA